CCACGUUCUAAUGUAUGACUUGUCACUAAAGUGCCUUAAACGUUCCUGAAAUGUUUUAGCCGGAUCUGUCAUCACAUUUAAAAUGUGUUUUUAUUAUGACUUGUUCUUAAAAGGGUUUUGAAAUGAUAUCCCACCUACACGUUUUGAUAACAUUUUUAAAAUGUUGCAACACAAUGCCUUAUUGUUACGGCGGGAAAUGACGUCGGAAUGACGUCACCCAUCACGUCAUAAUUUUGCACCCGCCAUCUUAGUUGAAGUUUAUUCAGGACCCUACCACCUUGUCAUUCGACUCAUGGUGCAACAACAGGAAACUGGAUCAUCGAUGUGGCCUCGAUUGCGCAAGGGCGAAUAUGAGACAAGCAUUCCAGGAUAUACAAACACACUGUUACACAUGAUGGAUUUAUGGAGGAACACAUCAAAUAAUCCAGGAGCUGUGAAUUAUAAAUAUGGAUGACUGCAAAAACAAAGAAGAAGAUAAUGAAACAAACUGAAAAAGUGUACACGUUUCCAGAAUUAUUAAUAAAAUUGUUGAUUACAA